rnacentral:misc_RNA from 1 species
GAAGUGCGAUAAGCAGUGCGAAUUGCAGAACCGUGAGUCAUCAGAUUUUUGAACGCAACUGGCGCCGUACGGCCUUUGGCUGUCGGCACGCCUGGUCCAGUGUUUUGUUCUCUCAUGAUCAAAAUCUUAAUGCUUGAGAUGCCCUUCUCUUGCUAAGUAUGAAAGCACUCUGCGAUCUGCGCGAGACUUUCGGGUCUCACUCAAUGCAGCAGUCACAUUGCUUACAGUGUGAACUCAUUGAGAGUGGGCGCAGUGCAGCAAUAGCUGCCUGUGCUUAGUCACACCAACUUAGAAAUCGCAUCUGGGCUCAGGUGGGACCACCCGCUGAACUUAA